rnacentral:rRNA from 1 species
UACAGAGGUCUCAAGCGUUGUUCGGAUUCAUUGGGCGUAAAGGGUGCGUAGGCGGCGCGGUAAGUCGGGGUGUGAAAAUCUCGGAGCUUAACUUCGAAACUGCAUUCGAUACUGCCGUGCUUUGAGGACUGGAGAGGAGACUGGAAUUUUACGGUGUAGCGGUGAAAAUGCGUAGAUAUCGUAAGGAAAGACCAGUGGCGAAGGCGGGGUCUCU